AUUAUAGUGUGUUAUCUUGCAUUCUGAUGUCUUAUUUAGUAAAUUAGUUUGUUUCUCCUCAGAUCAUUGCAGCUGUUUAUUUUUUAGAUCCAUCUCUCUAUCCUUUUCCCUUAUCUCUUUCCAGGGCAUGGAUCUACCCCUCUAGUCACGGAACCAGUCAGCCAGUAAAGCGUUGACACUCAUACACCAGCAAUUUGGUGGUGUAAGAUUCUUUUCGAUUACUGAAGCCAUACAUUGUCUGCUCAUCUUGGAAUCAUCCAAAUGCUGGCCAGAGGGUGAGGAGACUUUGAACUUGGCUAUAUCAGCAUGUAAUUCUUUACAGUGGGACAGCGUCAGCAGACUGAAGCUGAAGAACUUUCUUCUAUGAGCAUCACAACUCUUCUGCAGUGCUAAGGACCUAAGGAUACUGCAGGCAUAUGGAAGCCAAAUACAAAUUGAGGAUGCAGUUUGAUUCAUCUUUUCUAGUAAGUUGUACAACUUAUCUGAUCUGUUGUAA
rnacentral:lncRNA from 1 species